rnacentral:SRP_RNA from 1 species
CCGUGCUAGACGGGGAGGUAGCGGUGCCCUGUAACCCGCAAUCCGCUGUAGCGGGGUUGAAUUCCUGUUUAGAGGUACUGUGAUGUAAGGUCUGGCUUCUACACGUGGUGUUGAGAGUCGGGUCCUUCGCAAUGAAUGCUCGUGAACCCGGUCAGGUCCGGAAGGAAGCAGCCGUAAGCGAGAUGUUUCAUGUGCCGAGGGGUUGCCUGAUUUGAGCUAACGAUAGGGGUUCGCUUGUAUCAUUUUAUCAAUAGCAGGUGCACGG